rnacentral:rRNA from 1 species
UGGAGAGUUUGAUCCUGGCUCAGGACGAACGCUGGCGGCGUGCUUAACACAUGCAAGUCGAGCGUGAACCUCUUCAGGGGUAACCCUGGGGAGGGGAAAGCGGCGAACGGGUGAGUAACACGUGGGCAACCUACCCCAGACUCUGGAAUAACCCCGGGAAACCGGGGCUAAUGCCGGAUACUCUCGGAACCUCACCUGGGGAUCCGAGGAAAGCUCCGACGGUCUGGGAUGGGCCCGCGGCCUAUCAG